CUCUCUCUCUCUCUCUCUCUCUCUCUCUCUCUCUCUCUCUCUCAACAAGGUCUCAGGUAGACCAGGCUGUCCCUGUCCUUGUUAUGUAGCCCAGGAUGACAUUGAACUCCAGAUCCUUCUUCCUCCUACCCUCCUCUUCCCGGUGCUUUUUUCCCCCUUAUAUAACGAAAUCUCCUUUGUGUGGAUUUUCCUCUUCCUUUCUUUAUAUCUUUAGACCUUCUACCCCCAGGGUUAGGAGCCAGGGCCAUCUUCACUCCUUCCUGCCACCUAGAAUACAUUUGGUACACAGUGAGCCCUCAAUCGAUGUCCAUUGACUGACUGAAAAAAAAAAAAACGUUGUGUAUAUUUAUGUAGGUAAAGCUGCAUGAUCAAAAGGAAAGAAAAAAA
rnacentral:lncRNA from 1 species